rnacentral:rRNA from 1 species
AGUUUGAUCCUGGCUCAGGAUGAACGCUAGCGACAGGCUUAACACAUGCAAGUCGAGGGGCAGCGGGUAGAUGAGCUUGCUCAUUUAUGCCGGCGACCGGCGCACGGGUGAGUAACACGUAUGCAACCUGCCCGUCUCAGGGGGAUAAUCGUCGGAAACGGCGUCUAAUACCCCGUAUGAAGCUGGACGGCAUCGUCUGGUUUUGAAAGAAUAUAGGAGGCGGAUGGGCAUGCGGCGCAUUAGCUGGUUGGCGGGUAACGGCCCACCAAGGCAACGAUGCGUAGGGGUUCUGAGAGGAAGGUCCCCCACACUGGUACUGAGACACGGACCAGACUCCUACGGGAGGCAGCAGUGAGGAAUAUUGGUCAAUGGGCGAGAGCCUGAACCAGCCAAGUCGCGUGAGGGAGUACUGCCCUAUGGGUUGUAAACCUCUUUUGUCGGGGAGCAAAAGCCGGACGUGUCCGUCUGUGAGAGUACCCGAAGAAAAGCAUCGGCUAACUCCGUG